CUUACAACAGGCUGGACAGUCCAUGUCCUUACAACAGCAGGUAGAAGUCUGAUGUCCCUUUAUACCACAGGCUGGACAGUCCAUGUCCUUACAACAGGCUGGACAGUCCAUGUCCUUACAACAGGCUGGACAGUCCAUGUCCUUACAACAGGCUGGACAGUCCAUGUCCUUACAACAGCAGGUAGAAGUCUGAUGUCCCUUUAUACCACAGGCUGGACAGUCCAUGUCCUUACAACAGCCUGGACAGUCCAUGUCCUUACAACAGGCUGGACAGUCCAUGUCCUUACAACAGCAUGUAGAAGUCUGAUGUCCCUUUAUACCACAGGCUGGACAGUCCAUGUCCUUACAACAGCAUGUAGAAGCCUGAUGUCCCUUUAUACCACAGGCUGGACAGUCCAUGUCCUUACAACAGGCUGGACAGUCCAUGUCCUUUUAACAGGCUGGACAGUCCAUGUCCUUACAACAGGCUGGACAGUCCAUGUCCUUACAACAGGCUGGACAGUCCAUGUCCUUUUAACAGGCUGGACAGUCCAUGUCCUUACAACAGGCUGGACCAUCCAUGUCCUUACAACAGGCUGGACCAUCCAUGUCCUUACAACAGCAUGUAGAAGCCUGAUGUCCCUUUAUACCACAGGCUGGACAGUCCAUGUCCUUACAACAGGCUGGACAGUCCAUGUCCUUACUACAGGCUAGACAGUCCAUGUCCUUACAACAGGCUGGACAAUCCAUGUCCUUACAACAGGCUGGACAGUCCAUGUCCUUACAACAGGCUGGACAGUCCAUGUCCUUACAACAGGCUGGACAGUCCAUGUCCUUACAACAGCAGGUAGAAGUCUGAUGUCCCUUUAUACCACAGGCUGGACAGUCCAUGUCCUUACAACAGGCUGGACAGUCCAUCUCCUUACAACAGGCUGGACAGUCCAUGUCCUUACAACAGGCUGGACAGUCCAUGUCCUUACAACAGCAGGUAGAAGUCUAAUGUCCCUUUUUGGGAACCCACUAAGUUACUUAUGAACUCAAUCUGAACCUUUAAGUAUUAACUAGUGGUUCUGGUGAAACAUGUCCUUUCAGUAUUAACUAGUGGUUCUGGUGAAACAGGUCCUUUAAGUAUUAACUAGUGGUUCUGGUGAAACAUGUCCUUUCAGUAUUAACUAGUGGUUCUGGUGAAACAGGUCCUUUAAGUAUUAACUAGUGGUUCUGGUGAAACAUGUCCUUUAAGUAUUAACUAGUGGUUCUGGUGAAACAGGUCCUUUAAGUAUUAACUAGUGGUUCUGGUGAAACAGGUCAUUUCAGUAUUAACUAGUGGUUCUGGUGAAACAGGUCCUUUAAGUAUCUUCACAACAUCCCCAUACAUCUUAUUACCUGUUCUGUCUGGAUGUAACAGGCUGCCUAGUAAAUUAAAUGUCUUUGGCCCCAUUACACAUGAAAAAACUAUAAGUACAAUGUUGUCCUCAUCAAUGUAACUUACAAUAACAAAAUAUUCAAACCGUUCUGUAUAUGAGGUCCUCUGGUCAAUACUUUCAUCAAACUGUUCAAUGUUUCCAACAAUUCACACCAUGUUUUUCAUUUCUCAAUAGGCUCAUGAUUGUCCUCAACCACAGCAAUAUUUUCCUCAGUC
ensembl:lncRNA